rnacentral:rRNA from 1 species
GUAACACGUGGACAACCUGCCUCAAGGCUGGGGAUAACAUUUGGAAACAGAUGCUAAUACCGAAUAAAACUUAGUGUCGCAUGACACAAAGUUAAAAGGCGCUUCGGCGUCACCUAGAGAUGGAUCCGCGGUGCAUUAGUUAGUUGGUGGGGUAAAGGCCUACCAAGACAAUGAUGCAUAGCCGAGUUGAGAGACUGAUCGGCCACAUUGGGACUGAGACACGGCCCAAACUCCUACGGGAGGCUGCAGUAGGGAAUCUUCCACAAUGGGCGAAAGCCUGAUGGAGCAACGCCGCGUGUGUGAUGAAGGCUUUCGGGUCGUAAAGCACUGUUGUAUGGGAAGAACAGCUAGAAUAGGAAAUGAUUUUAGUUUGACGGUACCAUACCAGAAAGGGACGGCUAAAUACGUGCCAGCAGCCGCGGUAAUACGUAUGUCCCGAGCGUUAUCCGGAUUUAUUGGGCGUAAAGCGAGCGCAGACGGUUUAUUAAGUCUGAUGUGAAAGCCCGGAGCUCAACUUCGGAAUGGCAUUGGAAACUGGUUAACUUGAGUGCAGUAGAGGUAAGUGGAACUCCAUGUGUAGCGGUGGAAUGCGUAGAUAUAUGGAAGAACACCAGUGGCGAAGGCGGCUUACUGGACUGCAACUGACGUUGAGGCUCGAAAGUGUGGGUAGCAAACAGGAUUAGAUACCCUGGUAGUCCACACCGUAAACGAUGAACACUAGGUGUUAGGAGGUUUCCGCCUCUUAGUGCCGAAGCUAACGCAUUAAGUGUUCCGCCUGGGGA